rnacentral:tRNA from 5 species
GCCUCCUUAGCUCAGUGGUAGAGCGUCGCUCUUGUAAAGCGAAUGUCAUCGGUUCAAAUCCGAUAGGAGGCUCCA